CGGGGCGUAGCUCAGACGGAUAGAGCAAGUGCCUUCUUAGCACUCGGUCGCUGGUUCGAAUCCAGUCGCCUCGA
rnacentral:tRNA from 1 species